rnacentral:rRNA from 1 species
UACGUAGGGGGCGAGCGUUGUCCGGAGUUACUGGGCGUAAAGGGCAUGCAGGCGGUCGGACGCGUUUCGGGUGACAGCGGGUGGCUUAACUACCCGAGUGGUCGAAAGACGGUUUGACUUGAGGACGCGAGAGGGACACGGAAUUCCGGGUGGAGUGGUGAAAUGCGUAGAGAUCCGGAGGAACACCGAAGGCGAAGGCAGUGUCCUGGCGCAUAACUGACGCUGAGGUGCGAAAGCCAGGGGAGCGAACGGG